rnacentral:rRNA from 1 species
UACGUAGGGGGCAAGCGUUGUCCGGAUUUAUUGGGCGUAAAGAGCGUGUAGGCGGCCAGACAGGUCCGUUGUGAAAACUCGAGGCUCAACCUCGAGAUGUCGAUGGAAACCGUCUGGCUAGAGUCCGGAAGAGGAGUGUGGAAUUCCUGGUGUAGCGGUGAAAUGCGCAGAUAUCAGGAAGAACACCUAUGGCGAAGGCAGCACUCUGGGACGGUACUGACGCUGAGACGCGAAAGCGUUGGGGAGCGAACAGG